GACGAACGCUGGCGGCGUGCCUAAUACAUGCAAGUAGAACGCACAGGAUGCACCGUAGUUUACUACACCGUAUUCUGUGAGUUGCGAACGGGUGAGUAACGCGUAGGUAACCUGCCUGGUAGCGGGGGAUAACUAUUGGAAACGAUAGCUAAUACCGCAUAAGAACAUUUACUGCAUGGUAGAUGUUUAAAAGGUGCAAAUGCAUCACUACCAGAUGGACCUGCGUUGUAUUAGCUAGUUGGUGAGGUAACGGCUCACCAAGGCAACGAUACAUAGCCGACCUGAGAGGGUGAUCGGCCACACUGGGACUGAGACACGGCCCAGACUCCUACGGGAGGCAGCAGUAGGGAAUCUUCGGCAAUGGGGGGAACCCUGACCGAGCAACGCCGCGUGAGUGAAGAAGGUUUUCGGAUCGUAAAGCUCUGUUGUUAAGGAAGAACGUGUGUGAGAGUGGAAAGUUCACACAGUGACGGUACUUAACCAGAAAGGGACGGCUAACUACGUGCCAGCAGCCGCGGUAAUACGUAGGUCCCGAGCGUUGUCCGGAUUUAUUGGGCGUAAAGCGAGCGCAGGCGGUUAGAUAAGUCUGAAGUGAAAGGCAGUGGCUCAACCAUUGUAGGCUUUGGAAACUGUUUAACUUGAGUGCAGAAGGGGAGAGUGGAAUUCCAUGUGUAGCGGUGAAAUGCGUAGAUAUAUGGAGGAACACCGGGUGGCGAAAAGCGGCUCUCUGGUCUGUAACUGACGCUGAGGCUCGAAAGCGUGGGGAGCGACAGG
rnacentral:rRNA from 1 species